rnacentral:rRNA from 1 species
AUUGAACGCUGGCGGAAUGCUUUACACAUGCAAGUCGAACGGCAGCACGGGGGCAGCCCUGGUGGCGAGUGGCGAACGGGUGAGUAAUACAUCGGAACGUGCCCGGUCGUGGGGGAUAACGUGGCGAAAGUUACGCUAAUACCGCAUACGAUCUGAGGAUGAAAGCGGGGGACCUUCGGGCCUCGCGCGAUCGGAGCGGCCGAUGUCAGAUUAGGUAGUUGGUGGGGUAAAGGCCUACCAAGCCGACGAUCUGUAGCUGGUCUGAGAGGACGACCAGCCACACUGGGACUGAGACACGGCCCAGACUCCUACGGGAGGCAGCAGUGGGGAAUUUUGGACAAUGGGCGCAAGCCUGAUCCAGCCAUUCCGCGUGCAGGACGAAGGCCUUCGGGUUGUAAACUGCUUUUGUACGGAACGAAAAGGCUCUGGCUAAUACCUGGGGCUCAUGACGGUACCGUAAGAAUAAGCACCGGCUAGCUACGUG